GAGAGUCCUGCCAAGGGCUACGAGGCAGAAAACUGAUAUUAUUAAAGUGGUCUUCUGAACGACUUAAUUGCUGCCUAGAGCUCAUAGAAGGAUCUCACAGCACUGCUCCAGGGCACUGAAGCUUACAGUGAAAGCACAUUUUCAGCAAGUACUGAAGAUUGUCUCCACGUUGGCUGGUUUGAAACUGUGGUGUAUGUUUAAGCUCAGGCUGGAAAAGGAUCACUGAAAGUCACUUGGAUGGUGUCUCGUGUGUCUGUGAUGAGCUUGCUGUUGCUUUCUUUCUCCUUGACAGAUGAGAAAACAGUGGCUUCAAAGGUUAAACAACUUGUCUUCGAUUGCACAGCUAACAAGAGGUAAAACUGGAAUUUGAAUCGUGGUACUGUGACUUCAGAGGCCAGGUUCGUAGCGCUACACUAACACAGAGACCAGAAGAAGCCUUGACAUUAUCAUAAAACCACAGACAUGAUACAAGGCCAGGAAGAAGGAGGCUUGGGAGCUUAUUAGCUGAAAUAUAUUGAUCACCUUUUCACAGCUUUCUCUUAUUAUCCUCCCAAUGUCUCUGUGAGGACAGUACAGUUAUCACCCCAUUCUAGAGAUGAGGAAACUGAAGCUCAGAGGUGUUAAGAAACUUGUUCUAGGUCACACAGCUAGUAAUGCUUGGGAUCAGGAUUUGAAUUUAGAUUUGUCAUAUUCCAAAGUUUACCUAUAGUCUCAGCUACUAGGGAGGCUAAGGCAGGAGAAUUGCUUGAGCCCAGGAGUUUGAUUUCAGAUUGAGCAACAUAGUAA
rnacentral:lncRNA from 1 species